AACAGGAAGCAGCUUGCUGCUUCGCUCACGAGUGGCGGACGGGUGAGUAAUGUCUGGGAAACUGCCUGAUGGAGGGGGAUAACUACUGGAAACGGUGGCUAAUACCGCAUAACGUCGCAAGACCAAAGAGGGGGACCUUCGGGCCUCUUGCCAUCAGAUGUGCCCAGAUGGGAUUAGCUAGUUGGUGAGGUAACGGCUCACCAAGGCGACGAUCCCUAGCUGGUCUGAGAGGAUGACCAGCCACACUGGAACUGAGACACGGUCCAGACUCCUACGGGAGGCAGCAGUGGGGAAUAUUGCACAAUGGGCGCAAGCCUGAUGCAGCCAUGCCGCGUGUAUGAAGAAGGCCUU
rnacentral:rRNA from 1 species